rnacentral:rRNA from 1 species
UACGUAGGGUGCGAGCGUUGUCCGGAAUUACUGGGCGUAAAGAGCUCGUAGGUGGUUUGUCGCGUUGUCCGUGAAAACUCACAACUCAAUUGUGGGCGUGCGGGCGAUACGGGCAGACUGGAGUACUGCAGGGGAGACUGGAAUUCCUGGUGUAGCGGUGAAAUGCGCAGAUAUCAGGAGGAACACCGAUGGCGAAGGCAGGUCUCUGGGCAUUAACUGACGCUGAGGAGCGAAAGCAUGGGGAGCGAACAGG